rnacentral:lncRNA from 1 species
GGGCGCUUUCUUCUGCCCCUACUCCCGGCUGUCCGCUUCCUCCCCAGCCCCCUCCUGUGAGCUCUGGGAGCUACAGAAUAAGGACACUCCUUGGCCCCAAGCCAGCCCCAGCUUGCUCGGGAGCCUGGGUUUCCCCCUCCGUCCCCAUCACCGCGAGGGUCUGUGCAUGGGAAUCUGCUCCAGAGGCUCCCUCAGGCGCCGCGCCGCGGGGAUACGCCUUUCACCGCCCCAGCAAUUGGAGCGCUGAGUCGAAGUCCUGAUUCCACGAUAGGCGGAUGAAGCCCUAACGCUGAAAUUCUUUCCUCUAGGUCUUUGGCAGCGGCUGGGGCCAAAGCCCGGGCAAGACCAACGCCUUCGGCACCCGGACUCAGGCUCCGUCCUCUCUGCCAGCGUGCGGCUACAAUGACUCGACAUGGCAGGUGGGCAAGCACAGCACGCCCCAACAGACAUGCUUUAUUUAAUAUGUACUAAAAAUACAGCAGGCCUGUGAAACCCACAGGUGCAAUUGCUUAAAAUGAGGCUAAGGUAGACGUGUGAAUGGUUAAUAAUGAGUUGAUUAAAAUAUUCAGAAAUCAUCUACUGGAGACGGGCAAACUGCAAAAUGGUAGCAUGGGAGCAACUGAUGUUCGAGAAAGCCCAGGCUCCGGCAAGCCGUGGGUUUGAAUUUACACAUGCGCACAUAAUGGGUAUGAAUAAACCUUUCUUCAAAAAAACCAGAUCAAGUCAAGGCAGUUAUUUGCUGUGGGCAGGUGCCAAGGCUGGCUGCUUCAGUCCCCACGCGAGUCGCCCCCGAGCCUGCUUCUGCAGCCCAGCCUGGAAAGUGCAAGGCACUUGGAAAGGAGCCACGCCCAACGCCCUGUACCAGCGGCCUCCCGGACACCAACAGCGUCCUCUGCGCCUGCUGCAGCUUGUCCCUUAGUCCUCCCUGGACAGAGGGCGUGAAGUUGGCUGCGCCAACAGGACGCGGCCCGCUCACUUCGGGGCUCAUUGUCCUGGACACACAGUCAGGGCUGGACGCCUCCAGCAGCCCCACGCUUCACCCCAAGGUCCGCAAACCUGACAACUUCGGAGGUAGGGAUAUCUUGACACAGUCUGAAAACAAACCAUUUAAAACUUUUUUUCUCAAAAAAUUAAAAUAAUUUUUUUCUGCUUACAAAAUCUAUAAAUUCAGUUCAAUAUCAAUGAAAAUCGCAACAGGAUGUUGACACUUGAGAAGCUGAUUUGAAAGUUCAUCUGAAAGAGAAAAUAUAUAGGAAUCCUGAAGAUGAUUUCGAAAACCUCCAAAAAGACUUCAGUAAUUCACACAGAAAAUCCAGAAACAGAUUCAUGUUUAUGGGGAAAUUUAGUAUUUGAUACAGGAGACCUUUCAAAGCCAAGCUGGAAAGAUGGAAGGUCAACAGAGGCUUUGGGGAAAACUCACUAUCCAUUUUGAAACCAAUGUUAGAAUCUUCUUACCAUUUGCAAGAAUAAACUCCAGGUGUAUUAAAGAGCUAAACAUUUAAAAAAUCUAUAAAAGUUUUAAAGCCAAAUAUGGAAGAAUAUUUUUAAAAUCCUAUGGUGAAGAAGGCUUUUACUAAGCAGCAAACAAAACCUGGAAACCGUAAAGGAAAUGACUGACAGAUUUGAAUAUUGCAAGAACUAAAUGAAUGCCUCCUUAAACAAAUUAAAGGACAAAUUCCAGGCAGGGAGAAAAUAGUUUACAAUAGAAGUAAUGUGCCAAUGGUUAAUAUCUGUGUUGCAUAAACAUGUCUUUCCAAUCAAUAAGAAAAGAGUAGGAAAUGGGUAAGGAUUUAACAGGCAAUUCACAGAAGACAAAGUAACCGGCCCCUAAAUGGGAGCAUAUCCUCAACUUCACUAGUAAUAAAGGAAACGAAUUUAAAAGACGAUACAUUUCUCACUUCUUCUCUCCUUAUAGCUGUAUUCCACCUUUGACCAUACAGCCUGUUUUUAUUUAUCGUAAGCAUAGGUUAAUAAAUACAGGGCUUACCAUGUUAAUAUCUUCUUUCUAUGGAUGCGUAACAACUUAUUUUAUCAUUCCGUUUGUGACUGAAAUUGAAUUUCUUUCUGUAAACCUGAAAAUAUCUGAGACAAGCCUCGAUCAACUUAGAAGUUUACUUUGCCAAGAUUAAGGACACGUCUUGGGAGACAGGCCACUGCCUUCAGAGAAGGUGACAGAGGGCCAUGUCUGAAACAUUCUCCCACAACCAGGAACCCUCAGCAGCCGCUGAAGAGGAAAGGCAGUUAAAUGGAAAGACUUCUGAGCAAGUGGAGGAAAAGUCACGUGUGACCUAGGGAGGGGCUCCCACAGGAAGGGGCAAUGCCCUUGCCCUGUUCACCUAGCCUCCAGGUGGCUUCCCACUUGAAAUUUCAGAGGAUGGCAGAAACCUACUUACAAGGAAAUGAAAGAGGGCACAGCAACCUUAAGACCAGAGCAGCCCACGAUAUUUUUUAAUGAGGGCAAAAAUAGAAGACUUGCAAAAGACCCCUGAAAAUAAUGCCUGGAAGCUGCGAAACAUCAGACUGACACCGCACAAAAGAGGUCCAGCUGAGCAGGAGAAAAGCUUGAGAAGCAUCCAGAACAAUGUAGGUGGAGAGGCUAAGAAGAAAGAGGAGCCCACAUGGAAUGAAUAACCAAGGUCGGGACAGAGGAAGGUUCGCCAGAACUGGGAGGGCUGAAAUUGGACAUUGAGAUAAAUUAAAGAGUGUUCUUUAAAACUGUCAA